UUUUGCCAACAUUGGGGCUCCAAUCCCUGAGUUAAGCCUUUAGACAUAGGGCCUCCAUUCCUUAGUCGCCUAUAUUGCCAACAUUAGGGUUCCAAUCCCUGAGGUGAGCCUUUUUAGACAUAGGGCCUCCAUUCCCUAAUCGCUUUUUUGCCAACAUUUGAGCUCCAACCCCUGAGUUGAGACUUUUUAGAUAUAGGGCCUCCAUUCCCUAGUCGCCCUUUUUGCCAACAUUAGUGUUCCAACCCCUGAGUUGAACCUUUUUGACAUAGGGUCUCCAUUCCCUAGUCGCCUUUUUGCCAACAUUAGGGCUCCAAUCCCUGAGUUGAGCCUUUUAGACAUAGGGCCUUCAUUCCCUAGUCACCAUUUUGCCAAAAUUUGGGCUUCAAUCCCUGAGUUGAGCCUUUUAGACAUAGGGCCUCCAUUCCAUAGUCGCCUUUUUUGCCAACAUUAGUGCUCCAACCCUUGAGUUGAGCCUCUUUAGACAUAGGGUCUCCAUUCCCUAGUCUCUUUUUUGCCAACAUUAGAGCUCUAAUCCCUGAGUUUAGCCUUUUAGACAUAGGGCCUCCAUUCCCUAUUCUCCUCUUUUGCCCAUAUUAGGGCUCCAAUCCCUGAGUUGAGCCUUUUUAGACAUAGGGCCUCCAUUCCCUAGUCGCCUUUCACCAACAUUAGGCCUCCAAUCCCU
rnacentral:lncRNA from 1 species